rnacentral:tRNA from 1 species
UAGCUCAGUUGGUAGAGCGCUAGCCUUCCAAGCUUGAUGUCGCGGGUUCGAGUCGCGCG